UAGAUACCUCCGUUCCGAAUUACUUGUCUUGAAUUUGUCUAGAUACGGAUGUAUCUAGACUCAUUUUAGUAUUAGAUACCUCCGUAUCUAGACAAAUCUAAGACAAGUAAUUCGGAAUGGAGGGAGUAAGUG
rfam:Triticum urartu cultivar G1812 contig933089, whole genome shotgun sequence.